rnacentral:rRNA from 1 species
CCACGCAGUAAACGAUGAAUACUAGUUUUUUGCGAUAUACUGUAAGAGACUAAGCGAAAGCGAUAAGUAUUCCACCUGGGGAGUACGCCGGCAACGGUGAAACUCAAAGGAAUUGACGGGGGCCCGCACAAGCGGAGGAACAUGUGGUUUAAUUCGAUGAUACGCGAGGAACCUUACCCGGGAUUGAAAUGUAUACGCUGGAUUUGUGAAAGCGAGUCUAUUCACUUCGGUGACGUAUAUGUAGGUGCUGCAUGGUUGU